AACCUUAUGGACCUGCGGGCGUAUACCUGCGGAAGGAUCAUUACAGAGAUUGAUGCACCAAGUGCAUCACCUCCAACCCCUUGCGAAAACAACUAUCAUGUGUUGCUUUGGCAGUGUUUCCACUGCCAGAGGUUUACAUAAAAUCAGCUGUUUGGAUGUUGUCUGAGUAAACUAUAUGAAUUAUUUAAAACUUUCAACAACGGAUCU
rnacentral:misc_RNA from 1 species